rnacentral:rRNA from 1 species
AGCUCCAAUAGCGUAUAUUAAAGUUGUUGCAGUUAAAAAGCUCGUAGUUGGAUUUCUGGAUGGAGCGACCGGUCGGGGAUUAAUUUGUCUGCACUGGAGUCGGUUCCGUCCAUCCUCUUGGAAAGUGCGUGGGGCAUUAAGUUGUCUGGCGUAUGAUCCAAGUCGUUUACUGUGAAAAAAUUAGAGUGUUUAAAGCAGGCCUUCGCCUUGAAUACAUUAGCAUGGAAUAAUAAGAUAGGACUUUGGUCUAUUUUGUUGGUUUGCAGACCGAAGUAAUGAUUAAUAGGGAUAGUUGGGGGUAUUUAUAUUCCGAUGUCAGAGGUGAAAUUCUUAGAUUUUCGGAAGAUAAACUUAUGCGAAAGCAUUUACCAAGGAUGUUUUCAUUAAUCAAGAACGAAAG